GGGCCGUUAGCUCAGCGGUAGAGCAGNNCAGCGGACUUUUAAUCCGUUGGCCGCGGGUUCAAUCCCCGCACGGCCCACCA
rnacentral:tRNA from 1 species